rnacentral:rRNA from 1 species
AGCAGCCGCGGUAAUUCCAGCUCCAAUAGCGUAUAUUAAAGUUGUUGCAGUUAAAAAGCUCGUAGUUGAAUUUCGGGAUCAGUUUGUUGGUCGUGCUUCGGUACGUACUGUCAUUACUGGUUUCUCCCUUCUGAAGAACCUUGAUGUCAUUAAUUUGGUGUCUUGGGGAAUCAGGACUGUUACUUUGAAAAAAUUAGAGUAGUUUAAAGCAGGCAUACGCUUGAAUACAUUAGCAUGGAAUAAUGAAAUAGGACGUUUGAUUCUAUUUUGUUGGUUUCUAGGAUCGACGUAAUGAUUAAUAGGGAUAGUUGGGGGCAUUAGUAUUCAAUUGUCAGAGGUGAAAUUCUUGGAUUUAUUGAAGACUAACUACUGCGAAAGCAUUUGCCAAGGAUGUUUUCAUUAAUCAAGAACGAAAGUUAGGGGAUCGAAGACGAUCAGAUACCGUCGUAG